GACGAACGCUGGCGGCGUGCUUAACACAUGCAAGUCGAACGGUGAAGCGCCUUCCUUUUUGGUGGGUGUGGAUGAGUGGCGAACGGGUGAGUAACACGUGAGUAACCUGCCCCCUUCUUCUGGAUAACCGCAUGAAAGUGUGGCUAAUACGGGAUAUUCUGGGUCUGUCGCAUGAUGGGUCUGGGAAAGAUAUUGUUUCGGUGGGGGAUGGGCUCGCGGCCUAUCAGCUUGUUGGGGGGGUGAUGGCCUACCAAGGCGGUGACGGGUAGCCGGCCUGAGAGGGUGGACGGUCACACUGGGACUGAGACACGGCCCAGACUCCUACGGGAGGCAGCAGUGGGGAAUAUUGCACAAUGGGCGCAAGCCUGAUGCAGCGACGCCGCGUGAGGGAUGGAGGCCUGCGGGUUGUGAACCUCUUUCGCCAGUGAAGCAGGCCUGCCUCGUUUGUGGGUGGGUUGACGGUAGCUGGAUAAGAAGCGCCGGCUAACUACGUG
rnacentral:rRNA from 1 species